rnacentral:rRNA from 1 species
ACUCCUACGGGAGGCAGCAGUGGGGAAUCUUGGACAAUGGGCGCAAGCCUGAUCCAGCCAUGCCGCGUGAGUGAUGAAGGCCCGUAGGGUCGUAAAGCUCUUUCGCCAGGGAUGAUAAUGACAGUACCUAGGUAAACGAAACCCCGGCUAACUCCGUGCCAGCAGCCGCGGUAAUACGGGAGGGGUUUAGCGUUGUUCGGAAUUACGUGGGCGUAAAGCGCGCGUAGGCGGACUGGAAAGUUGGGGUGAAAGUCCCGGGGCUCAACCCCGGAACUGCCUCCAAAACUCCCAGUCUUGAGUUCGAGAGAGGUGAGUGGAAUUCCGAGUGUAGAGGUGAAAUUCGUAGAUAUUCGGAGGAACACCAGUGGCGAAGGCGGCUCACUGGCUCGAUACUGACGCUGAGGUGCGAAAGUGUGGGAGCAAACAGGAUUAGAUACCCUGGUAGCGACUGA